AGAUCGGCGAUGGGCGGAGCCCUCGCCAACCCGGUCAGGUCCGGAAGGAAGCAGCCGUAACGAGUGCGACUUCGGGUCGUUUGCCGGUCUCCA
rnacentral:SRP_RNA from 1 species